UGCCCGCCCUCACGGGCCCCGCGGGCCGGGCCGUGCGCCGCAGCACGUACUGCCCCGGCACGGACCGCCCGGCACGGACCGCCCGGCACGGACCGCCGCGGCCCCACGGGCCCCCGGUGGCGGCGGGACGGGCUUUGGGGCCGAGUGUGCUGGGAGGCCGGCCCGGAUGACACUGCCCGGCGCAGCGGCAGCGCGGGACUUCCCUCAACUUGUUCCACGGGGUGACUCGGCGCAGGAGUUCCACUCACUAGGCAGGAACAGAGGAUCCCCUUGCCCCUCACUGCCGGGCCCUCAUCCCUCCCGGGGGUCCUGGACACGCUCCCGGGAGUCCUGACCCCACUCGUGCGGUCCUGGCCCUGCUCUUGGGCAUCCUGGCCCGGCUCCUGGGGGGCCCUGACCCCACUCCUGGGAUCCUGGCCCCAGUCCUAGCAGACUUGGUCCUGCCUCUGGUGGUCCUGGACCCCUUCAGGUGCAGAGUGCAGCACAGUGUCUGUAUUAAAACACAACAGCCCCUGAAAAUCCAUUAAAAUACAUUGCCUGAUGAUUGUGCUUUUGUGGUCACCACAACAUUUCUUAGCGUGCUCCCAUAAAGCCAAAAGAAGAGUGGUGUAGUCCAACUGUGAGUCAAGGAAGGGAAAGAAAGGAAUAAACAGUGACUCUCCACAGAUGGAGACAGAGCAGCCGUGAGGAGGUACCAGCUCUUCCAUAUCAAAAGAACCACUGCUCCUCCAUCACAGCAAGCACGGUCACGGGCGUACUCUGAGCGUGUUGAGGCACUGAAUGGACCAGGUGCACUCAAUAAAAGGCCAGGGACUACAACCAACUCUUUCACCCACUUCUGAGGCUCCGAGUUUACCCCAUGACAAUGGAAGCAGAAGAGAAGGCAUCAGAUCACUGUCCUUACGGAACGUGCAAGCUCUCCUCCAUGGAUGAUAUAG